GAUGAAUAAAAUUAGUCCUAAAAAACUCAAGCCGAUGAUUAAAGGUUGAUGCUUAAGACAAAAAAUUAUGGGAUAGUGCAAUCUCGAUGCAAUUGGGAUAAAACUUCUAUAGUCAGAUCGAUCAAAGAAGAAAUUAUAGUCGGCUCGUCAUCGUCUGCAAUAUGUCAGAAUUUAUGCGGAUCAUAAAGCAAAAGCAGAGAGGAAAAAAAAUGAAGAAAAAAUCCUUCAUCGAUUGUUUCCGACAUCUGCUCCCCUUUCCAUCCUUUACUUCUUGCCAAC
rnacentral:lncRNA from 1 species